CAGUAGCCGCGGGAAUACGUAGGGUGCAAGCGUUAAUCGGAAUUACUGGGCGUAAAGGGCGCGUAGGCGGAGAUUACAGUCAGAUGUGAAAUUCCUGGGCUCAACCUGGGAACUGCAUUUGUGACUGGCAAGCUAGAGUGUGUCAGAGGGGGGUAGAAUUCCACGUGUAGCAGUGAAAUGCGUAGAUAUGUGGAGGAAUACCGAUGGCGAAGGCAGCCCCCUGGGAUAACACUGACGCUCAUGCACGAAAACGUGGGGAGCAAACAGGAUUAGAUACCCGUGUAGUCCCUGUCUCUUAUAC
rnacentral:rRNA from 1 species